UCGGGAAUUUUGGGCAAUGGGCGAAAGCCUGACCCAGCAACGCCGCGUGAAGGAUGAAGUAUUUCGGUAUGUAAACUUCGAAAGAAUAGGAAGAAUAAAUGACGGUACUAUUUAUAAGGUCCGGCUAACUACGUGCCAGCAGCCGCGGUAAUACGUAGGGACCAAGCGUUGUUCGGAUUUACUGGGCGUAAAGGGCGCGUAGGCGGCAAUUCAAGUCAUCUGUGAAAUCUCCGGGCUUAACUCGGAACGGUCAGAUGAUACUGCUUUGCUAGAGUGCAGAAGGGGCAAUCGGAAUUCUUGGUGUAGCGGUGAAAUGCGUAGAUAUCAAGAGGAACACCUGAGGUGAAGACGGGUUGCUGGGCUGACACUGACGCUGAGGCGCGAAAGCCAGGGGAGCAAACGGGAUUAG
rnacentral:rRNA from 1 species